AAUUACCUUUUAAACUAAGUACCUUUUUUACAACAUGCGAAGUAAAAAAGCCGUCAAAGUUGUAUGCUUGCAGCUCUUGUGCAUCAAUAUUUCGAAAUAACAGAGAGUUAUUGGAACAUCAAGAAAUUCAUAGUUUGGAAAACAAAUUGACCAUCGACACGGACAAGAUAGAUUUGAUGGAUAAAACGAAUAUGAAACCGUAUUACGUCAUAAAGUCUAAGACAGGAACGCGGUAUUCCUGUUUACAAUGCCCGAUGCAUUUCAACAAAAUCACUAAUUGCCAGAGGCAUGUAAAGACACAUCAACGAUUGGCAAACAAUAAAAAAGACAGUAAAGAACCAAAAUCAAAUAAGGUCAAGGAACACAUUUAUCAAUGUUCAUUGUGCCCUAGUUCAUAUCACCAUCCUUCUUCUCUGACCAAACACUUCACAGGUGUCCAUGUGAAAGCACAAGUUCAAAAAGAGUCUCGUUUCGAAUAUGUCAAUGAAUAAGAAGAGGUACAUACCAUAUAGAAUAAU